rnacentral:ncRNA from 1 species
UCGGUUCCGGUUCACGCUCGAAAGCCAUCAGGUUAGGGCUCGGGCGACCCGGCGACC